rnacentral:rRNA from 1 species
UGGAUGAUGUGGAUAAUUCGAUGCAACGCGAAAACCUUACACCUUGACAUGUCCGGAAUCCCGAAGAGAUUUGGGAGUGCUCCCAAGAGAACCGGAACACAGGUGCUGCAUGGCUGUCGUCAGCUCGUGUCGUGAGAUGUUGGGUUAAGUCCCGCAACGAGCGCAACCCUUGUCAUUAGUUGCCAUCAUUUGGUUGGGCACUCUAAUGAGACUGCCGGUGACAAACCGGAGGAAGGUGGGGAUGACGUCAAGUCCUCAUGGCCCUUAUGGGUAGGGCUUCACACGUCAUACAAUGGUCGGUACAGAGGGUUGCCAACCCGCGAGGGGGAGCUAAUCCCACAAAGCCGAUCGUAGUCCGGAUCGCAGUCUGCAACUCGACUGCGUGAAGUCGGAAUCGCUAGUAAUCGUGGAUCAGCAUGUCACGGUGAAUACGUUCCCGGGUCUU